AGUGAACGCUGGCGGUAGGCCUAACACAUGCAAGUCGAACGGCAGCACAGUAAGAGCUCGCUCUUACGGGUGGCGAGUGGCGGACGGGUGAGGAAUACAUCGGAAUCUACUUUUUCGUGGGGGAUAUCGUUGGGAAACUUAAGCUACUACAGCAUAUGACCUACGGGUGUAAGCAGGGGAUCUUCGGCCCUGUCGCGAUUGAAUGAGCCGAUGUCGGAGUAGCUAGUUGGCGGGAUAAAGGCCCACCAUGGCGACGAUCCGUAGCUGUUCGGAGUGGAUGGACCGCCACACUGGAAGUUAAACAUGGUCCAUACGCUUACGAGGGGCAGCAGUGGGGAAUAUUGGAAACUGGGGCGAAUCAUAGUACUGCCAAACCGCGUUCGUGAAAAAGGCCUUCGGGUUGUAAAGCCUUUUUGUUGGGACAGAAAAACAGCAGUUUAGAACAGCGCUGUUGUGACGAUACCCAAUGAGUAGGCCACGGCUAACUUCGUG
rnacentral:rRNA from 1 species